rnacentral:rRNA from 1 species
CACGCCGUAAACGAUGAUAACUAUCUGUUCGGGCUCAUAGAGCUUGAGUGGAGCAGCUAACGCAUUAAGUUAUCCGCCUGGGGAGUACGGUCGCAAGAUUAAAACUCAAAGGAAUUGACGGGGGCCUGCACAAGCGGUGGAGCAUGUGGUUUAAUUCGAAGCAACGCGCAGAACCUUACCAGCGUUUGACAUCCUUGUCGCGGUUUCCAGAGAUGGAUUCCUUCAGUUCGGCUGGACAAGUGACAGGUGC